AGACCUGACUGGGUGGUUGAGGGAGCUCCUGGUGAAAUGUGCUGAGGCUUCUGCUGAGGUUUCUACCUCAGCUCCACGGCCUGGCCAGGUAGGAAUGCAAUUCACCUUCCUGUCAUGUUUCUGUCCUGGCACUCCAGACAUUCGGGUCAGACAGACCUCACUAUCUCCAAGCUGCAGUGAAUCUGAGAGCCAUGAAAGUUCAAUGGAUUGAAGAAAAUGUUCACGGAAGGAAGAUGAUUAAUUGAUCCAGAGGGCCUGUAGCAACUCUGUUUAACAUGCUAGAUGAGCCAGUCUUAUUCAGUGAUGACUAAGGAUCUAGAGAAAACUGGUGUCAGGUUGGUCUUCUUCUUCCCACCUAUUUUCAGUUGGCCUGCAGUUCCUAGGAUGUGUAUCCUGUAUGCUGGUCACCGGAAGAUAGGCAAAUUUUUGCUUUGUUGCUGGUUCUGGGACAACAGCCAUGAUGACUUCUUGGCAGUCAUUUGCAGACUAAGGUAGCUUUGAAGGUGAAGAUUCUUUGUGUUCAUUCUCAUCCUGAUGUAAAAAUACUACCUGAGACUGGAUAAUUUAUAAACAAAAGAGGUUUAAUUGAUUCACAGUUCCUCAUGCCUGGGGAGGCCUCAGGAAACUUACAAUCACAGCGGAAGGCAAAAGGGAAGAAGGCACCUUCUUCACAAGGUGGCAGGAGAGACAGUGAGGAAGUGCCAUACUUUAAAACCAUCAGCUCUCAUGAGACUUCACUCAUGAUCACGAGAACAGCAUGGGGAACCUUCUCCCAUGAUUCAAUCACCUCCCACCAGCUCCCUCCUCGACAUGUGGGGAUUACAAUUUGAGAUGAGAUUUGGGUGGGUACACAGAGACAAACCAUAUCUAUCAAUUCUGAAUGUUUAAUACCAGUAUUAUUAGAGGAGGAUCUAGUCCCCUUCAGGACAUAAGGAUCUAUGAUCCUCUGUCAGAACAUAUUAGACCCUUUCCUUUGGCUAUAACCAAAAGAUUAUAAACAUACAUCCAGGAAUAAAAAUAGUAUAUUAAAAUUGUGUGUGUGUGUGUGUGUACGAAUGUAAAUUUUUUGUGCCAAAUCUAAAGACUCUUUACCUAGUCCUAAUGUGUCUUGAAGAUCUUCUGCAGUUUUUUUUCUAGAAAUUUUAUAGUUUUAUGUUUUACAUUUAAGUCUGUGAUUCAUUUUUAGUUAAUUUUUUUUGUAUAAGAUGUGAAGCUUAGGUUAAGGUUCAUGUUUUUGCCUAUGGUUGUUCAAUUGCUCUAAUAGCAUUUAUUGAAAAGGUUAAUGAUUUAUUUGUACUUCUGCCAAAAUUAAUUGAUCAUACUCAUGUGGUCAUACUUCCGCUUUCUCUGUUUUAUACCACUUAGCUUUGUCUAUCUUGCUAUCAAUACCACACUGUCUUGAUUACUGUAGCUAUAUAUUACUGUAGCUAUAUAGUAAACUUUAAUAAAAGGAAGAUGAACUUUCUUCUUCUUUUUUCAAAAUCGUUUUGGCUGUUUAAGGUCUUUUUCUUUUGGUAUACAUUUUAGAGUAAAAGUACAUACUUCUGUGAAAUACCUUACUAAGCUUCUGAUAGGAAAUACGAUAACACUGUAGAACAGUUUAGGGAGGACUGGUAUCUUUACUAAAUCUUCUAACCCAUAAACAUGAUAUUUAGGUCUUCUUGUCUUUCACCAACAUUUUGUAAUUUUCAACAUGUAGAUUCUAUACAAUUUUGUUGAGAUUAUGUCAUCUGUGAAUAAAGACUGUUUUAUUUCUUUUCCAA
ensembl:lncRNA novel transcript